rnacentral:rRNA from 1 species
AUUGAACGCUGGCGGCAGGCUUAACACAUGCAAGUCGAGCGGGGUGAUGGUGCUUGCACUAUCACUUAGCGGCGGACGGGUGAGUAAUGCUUAGGAAUCUGCCUAUUAGUGGGGGACAACAUCUCGAAAGGGAUGCUAAUACCGCAUACGUCCUACGGGAGAAAGCAGGGGAUCACUUGUGACCUUGCGCUAAUAGAUGAGCCUAAGUCGGCUUAGCUAGUUGGUGGGGUAAAGGCCUACCAAGGCGACGAUCUGUAGCGGGUCUGAGAGGACGAUCCGCCACACGGGGACUGAGACACGGCCCAGACUCCUACGGGAGGCAGCAGUGGGGAAUAUUGGACAAUGGGGGGAACCCUGAUCCAGCCAGGCCGCGUGUGUGAAGAAGGCCUUAUGGUUGUAAAGCACUUUAAGCGAGGAGGAGGCUCUUUUGGUUAAUACCCAAGAUGAGUGGACGUUACUCGCAGAAUAAGCACCGGCUAACUCUGUGCCAGCAGCCGCCGUAA